rnacentral:rRNA from 1 species
GACGAACGCUGGCGGCGUGCUUAACACAUGCAAGUCGAACGGAGUGGCGAACGGGUGAGUAACACGUGGGUGAUCUGCCUUGCACUUCGGGCUACGCUUGGGAAACUGGGUCUAAUACCGGAUAUUUCAAGAUGAGCUCGCGGCCUAUCAGCUUGUUGGUGGGGUAAUGGCCUACAAAGGCGUCGACGGGUAACCGGCCUGCGGGGGUGUACGGCCACAGUGGGACUGAGAUACGGACCAGACAGCAACGGGAGGCAGCAGUGGGGAAUAUUGCAAAAUGGGCGGAAGCCUGAUGCAGAGACGCCGCGUGGGGGAUGAAGGCCUUCGGGUUGUAAACUCCUUUCGACAGGGACGCGGUACCUGUAUAAGAAGCACCGGCUAACUACGUGCCAGCAGCCGCGGUAAUUC